GCGAUUGUGGCGAAGUGGUUAACGCACCGGAUUGUGGUUCAGGCAUUCGUGGGUUCGAUUCCCAUCAGUCGCCCCA
rnacentral:tRNA from 1 species